CCUACGGGCCGCACCAGUGGGGAAUAUUGCACAAUGGGCGCAAGCCUGAUGCAGCCAUGCCGCGUGUAUGAAGAAGGCCUUCGGGUUGUAAAGUACUUUCAGUGGGGAGGAAGGUGUUGUGGUUAAUAACCGCAGCAAUUGACGUUACCCGCAGAAGAAGCACCGGCUAACUCCGUGCCAGCAGCCGCGGUAAUACGGAGGGUGCAAGCGUUAAUCGGAAUUACUGGGCGUAAAGCGCACGCAGGCGGUCUGUCAAGUCGGAUGUGAAAUCCCCGGGCUCAACCUGGGAACUGCACUCGAAACUGGCAGGCUAGAGUCUUGUAGAGGGGGGUAGAAUUCCAGGUGUAGCGGUGAAAUGCGUAGAGAGCUGGAGGAAUACCGGUGGCGAAGGCGGCCCCCUGGACAAAGACUGACGCUCAGGUGCGAAAGCGUGGGGAGCAAACAGGAUUAGAUACCCCUGUAGUC
rnacentral:rRNA from 1 species